rnacentral:lncRNA from 1 species
AGGCCGCUGCCAGUACCCGAGCGGGCGGGAGGGCAGCUGCGGAGUCAGAAGCCCACCCUGAUGCCCAGUUCGCUCCGAGUGCGUCGUCCGCUUUCUCCCGGAGGCCGCGGCGACCCCGCCGGGAUGUGCGACAUGUGGUGCCCCGACCCCCGACCCUUGACCCUUGACCUCCGGGCAGCUCCGACCCUUUCAACACUCUCCGGGGUCGUGCGUCGGGAGACCCCGGCCCCUGCCCGCGUGCACCCGGGGGGCCCCGCGCGAAGCCUGCGGCGGCUUCCACGUGGGCGCGGCUCAGUCCCGCUGCCGAUCCGUGACUCCGCGCCGCCCUCCGCGCCCGGCCUAGCCUCAGCGAGGCCGGGCUGGACGGGGCCCUGGUGCUGGUUUUCAGUGCCUCAGCGAGGCCGGGACCAGAGCUGCUAUUUCCAGAUGAGGCUGGCUCGCAUCUGCUCUGGCCGGGGCUCCAGGCCUGAGCCCUGCAACACGGCGUUCCCUUUCCAAGUCUGCAAAGCCUGUCUUAGGGGAGAGAAGAAGUUUCCUUCCAUGCGGGUGGGGACGGCUAACCAUGUCCAGACACUGAGACCGGUGCUCUGUGUGCUCAGCCUUCAGCCUGCACUGGCUUGGUGGCUUGGUGACCCGCCAGCAGGGUGGUGCUGUCUGUGGGCUCUGCUCAAGCUCCUCUCAGAGCCAGGAGGAUGCCCGCCUGCUUGGGCCUGGCUCCCAGGAUGUGCUUGGCAAAUGCUUCUGGGAUGGAUGGAUGGAUGGGUGAGUGGAUAACGGAUGGAUGGAUAAUGGAUAGAUGGAUAAUGGAUAGAUGGAUGGAUGGAUGGAUGAUGGAUGGAUGGAUAAUGAAUGGGUGGGUGGAUGGAUGGAUGUGCUCGAUCGGCAAAUGCUUCUGGAAUGGAUGGAUAAUUGGAUGGGUAAUGGGUGGGUGGAUGGAUAAUGGAUGGAUGGAUGGAUAAUGGAUGGAUGGAUGGAUAAUGGAUAGAUGGAUGGAUAAUGUAUAGAUGGAUGGAUGAUGGAUGGAUGGAUGGAUAAUGGGUGGAUGGAUGAUGGAUAAUGGGUGGAUGGAUGAAUAAUGGAUGCUUCUGGGAUGGAUGGAUAAUGAGUGGGUGGAUGGAUAAUGAAUGGGUGGAUGGACAGAUGGAUAGAUGGAUAUGUUUGCUUGGCAAAUGAUUCUAGAAUGAAUGGAUGGAUGGAUAAUGAAUGGGUGGGUGGGUGGAUGGAUGGAUGCACUCUGUUGGCAAAUGCUUCUGGGAUGGAUGGAUGGAUAAUGGAUGGAUAGAUGGAUAAUCAAUGAGUGGGUGGAUGGAUGGAUAGAUGGAUGUGUUUGCUUGGUAAAUGAUUCUGGAAUGGAUGGGUGGAUGGAUGGAUGGAUGCGCUCGAUCGGCAAAUGCUUCUGGAAUGGAUGGAUAAUUGGAUGGGUAAUGGGUGGGUGGAUGGAUGCAUGGAUAGAUGGAUGUGCUCACUCAGCAAAUGCUUCUGGAAUGAAUGGAUGAUGGAUGGAUGAAUAGAUGGAUGGAUGGAUGAAUGGAUGGAUGGAUGGAUGGAUGAAUGAAUUGCUAAUUGGGGCUGUUUUUCCAUACAGAGUGCUGCACGUGGGACUUAGCCUUGGACACUAACUCCUUUGCCCCUCGUAUCUGGGAGGGAACAACACAGUUGCUAUGCCUGACUAGGGCAUGACCUGGGAGGCCUUUGGGGCCACACAGCCUCCUUGGGAAAGGAGGAUCAGGUGGGCCUCACACCCAGGAAUUGGAAGUGGGAGAGACAACAGCUGCUGGGUAGUGGGGGUAGAGCUGUGUCUCUCACUGCCCUGCCCCUCCAAGGACCAAGAAGAAAGGAAUGAGCCCCGAUCCGCCUGCCAGUAGAGAUGGGGU